AAUAGCCUAACGGCUGAACCAGCAACUUGGAAGAAUGUAUAGCUAAGCUAAAUGUUUUUUACAUUUUUUGUAAAAAACAUAUUCGAUUUACUCGUAUAAAGUUCUAGGUAGAAUUAUGAUAAUGACAUUAUCUAUCUAUAAGUCUUGACCAACAUGCGUGCCAGCAGUCGCGGCAAGACGCUAAAGACUAGUGUUAUUCAUUUUAAUAGGUUUAAAGGGUACCUAGACGGUAAAUUAAGCCUUAAUCGGUACUAAUUUAACUAGAGUUAAAUGUAAGGGUGCAUUAACGUACUAUUGAGUGUAGAGAUGAAAUUCUGUCAUACCAGAUUAUUGGCACGGGUUUAGGCGAAAGCAUCACUUUAUGUAAUAACUGACGUUGAGGGACGAAGGCUUUGUAUCGCUAAAAGGAUUAGAUACCCUCGUAGUCUAAGCAGACAAUGAUGAAUGUCAUAGGUUAAAUAUUGUUUAGUCUAUAAAUGAAAGUGUAAGCAUUCCACCUCAAGAGUAAUUUGGCAACAUUGGAAUUGAAAUCAUUAGACCGUUUCUGAAACCAGUAGUGAAGUAUGUUGUUUAAUUAGAUGGUCCACAAAAAACCUUACCACAACUUGAAUAUUUUACAAGCGUUGCACGGCUGUCUUCAGUUAAUGUCGUGAGAUUUUGGUUAGUUCCAUUAAUUAACGUAAACCCUUGCUUUAUUUUUAUAUAAAGUAGUUCGCCGCUAUAUUGGUUAGAUAAAA
rnacentral:rRNA from 1 species